rnacentral:rRNA from 1 species
UCUCAACAACAGACUCGGUGAAAUUGUAAUUCCGGUGAAGAUGCCGGAUACCUGCGACAGGACGGAAAGACCCCAUGGAGCUUUACUGUAGCUUGACAUUGGGUUUUGGUACUACAUGUACAGGAUAGGUGGGAGGCUUUGAAACCAGGACGCCAGUUUUGGCGGAGCCAUCCUUGGGAUACCACCCUUGUAGUACUGGGACUCUAACCAUAGGCCAUGAAUCUGGUCUUGGGACACUGUCAGGCGGGCAGUUUGACUGGGGCGGUCGCCUCCCAAAAGGUAACGGAGGCGCUCAAAGGUUCUCUCAGUACGGU